ensembl:lncRNA
CUCCCACCCACGCACGCCACUCAAGGGGUCCACCGCACACAAACCGCAGCACGCUCGCGUGUGAUACAGAUGGGGGGGGCGCGGACUUGGCUCCGGAGGCUGUUCGGCUCUCGUGAGUUUGGCUUUCAUCUGAAAUAACAGCCCCGCUGGAUGCAAGUUGUUGCGUAAAAUUGAGACACGCUUCUACAUACCUUGUAAAAAUGAAAACAGCAUAAAAAAAAGAAGAACGAGGAGAGAAAAACAAACAGGCUUGUCACGCAUCUUGCACAAGUUGAGGAGUGAGAGCAGCUACGACGACCUAAGGCCGGGUUUGCACGAGGUCGGCAGCCCCAGAUUCUCGGGCCGUUCAAAAUGAUGGGCCAUGAUUAAGCAGGUUGGUGCCUGCGAUGGAGUUGUAUUAAUGUUCGCCCUCCAAGUACCAGAGUAUUGUCCCACCACAGCUGGGAAAUGGCUUCUUUCAAGAUCGCCAAACGUGUUGACGGUGUGUUUCAGCUCUCCUGAGGCGGGUGAUUCCGGCCGAGGAGUCUUUGUGAUGAGGCGAACACAGCUGAGUUAAUGAAAGGUCGACAGCCUCUACGCACGCACCACCGCUGCAUCUCCUGAAUGGAACACCUUGGUGUGCUGGGCCAUAUGCACGCACACACAGGUCACCAUCCCGAUGGCGAUGGAGGGCAAUAAGAAGAUUUUUGGCACAGUGAAGCUUUGGUUAAAAUAUGCAAUAACUCGUUAAGGGAAAUCCGAUAAAACAAGCGAGGAAACUGCACAGUAUAUCCCACAUACCUCAAAGGCGAUAAGCUAAAGAUAAUGUUAAGGCUUUUAAGGUUAUAGCUCAGUCGGUGAAUACAUUUUCUUCCCAGCAUCAGUGUUGGUGACUAUAGUAAAUAUUACGUCCAAACUGACUGCGAAGGAUGAAGGACAUUCGUUUUUCACACACUUUUUAAAAAUAGGGAUUGAGAAUCGUUCACAAGGUUCGAUGUGGAACGACUCCCCGAGUGAGGCAGAGAAUAUGGAGAGGGAAGUAUUGCUGCCAAUGGUCUCUCCAUGUGGACUGUUGAAAGAACAGUCACGAUAUGCUUUGAAAUAUGAGUGUGACUCAUCUGGCUGGCUGAAAUCUGAUGCACACCUGGAGUUCAUGGGAUCUUCUCAGUGAUGGAAAUUAGCAAGUUACAUUUAUUCAUGCAAUAUGUACGAGUACAAUUUUUAUGUACUUGUUCCUUUACAAUUGUUAUGUGUACUUAACAUUUUAAAGAGGAAUAACGUAUUUGUCUUGUUGUUGUUUUUUACAUUUUCUUUGCAGAUAAAUACUUUGCGUAUGUGAAAGUAAUCUCAUCAAAUAUGGUUAACUACAGGUUAAAAGAAAUCAAUGUAAUAUGAUGUAACUGAUAUCAGCUCCACUCAAUCAAUAAUAACGUUGUUUUUUUCUUCUUUUUUAUAUUUUAAUUGCGAAUAUGGUGCACUUGGAUACAAGGGUGUUGUUAGUGUAGUGGUGUUUGUUUUUUAAAACUGCAUUAAUGUUUUAAAUGUAACGUGUAUCUUAGCUGGAGCUACAGUGUCUUGAU